rnacentral:rRNA from 1 species
UGGGGAAUCUUGCGCAAUGGGCGAAAGCCUGACGCAGCCAUGCCGCGUGAGUGAUGAAGGCCUUAGGGUUGUAAAACUCUUUCACCGGGGACGAUAAUGACGGUACCCGGAGAAGAAGCCCCGGCUAACUUCGUGCCAGCAGCCGCGGUAAUACGAAGGGGGCUAGCGUUGCUCGGAAUUACUGGGCGUAAAGGGCGCGUAGGCGGAUCAGCAAGUUGGGGGUGAAAGCCCGGGGCUCAACCUCGGAAUUGCCUUCAAAACUGCUGAUCUAGAGUACGGGAGAGGUGUGUGGAACUCCGAGUGUAGAGGUGAAAUUCGUAGAUAUUCGGAAGAACACCAGUGGCGAAGGCGACACACUGGCCCGUUACUGACGCUGAGGCGCGAAAAGCGUGGGGAGCAAAACAGGAUUAGAUACCCUGGUAGUCCACGCUGUAAACGAUGAUUGCUAGUUGUCGGCAGGCAUGCCUGUCGGUGACGCAGCUAACGCAUUAAGCAAUCCGCCUGGGGAGUACGGUCGCAAGAUUAAAAACUCAAAGGAAUUGACGGGGGUCAUAGCUG